GAACUUUGCUGAUUGAUUUGAUGUAGCUUGCUAUUGAGAUGAUUGAAGCGCUAGUUAGUGGCGAACGGGCGAGUAACACGUUUCUAAUCCACCCCAGAGACGAGGACAACUACGGAGACGUAGCUAAACCUCGAUACGCUCACCAAAAUGAAAAUAUGGUGAGGAAAUAUUUAUAGCUCCGGGACGAGGAAGCGUCCUAUCAGGUAGUUGGUGAGAUAAUAGCCCACCAAGCCUAUGACGGGUAGCCGGUCUGAGAGGAUGUCCGGCCGCAAUGGAACUGAGACACGGUCCAUACCCCUACGGGGGGCAGCAGUGGGGAAUUUUGGACAAUGGACGAAAGUCUGAUCCAGCAAUUCUGCGUGCACGAUGAAGGCCUGCGGGUUGUAAAGUGCUUUUUUGAGGGAAAACGACUGAUGGUACCUCAAGAAUAAGGGACGGCUAACUCUGUGCCAGCAGCCGCGGUAAUACAGAGGUCCCGAGCGUUAUCCGGAUUUACUGGGCGUAAAGAGUCCGUAGCUGGCAUUGUAAGUCUUGAUUCAAAUACUCUGACUCACUCAGAGAAAGGGUCAAGAUACUGCAAAGCUUGAGAUCAUAGGGGGUUAGUGGAAUUUCCAGUGGAGGGGUGAAAUCCGUUGAUAUUGGAAGGAAUGCCGAAAGCGAAAGCAGCUAACUACUAUAUUCUGACAGUCAAGGACGAAAGCUUGGGGAUCGAACGGGAUUAGAUACCCCGGUAGUCCAAGCCGUAAAUGAUGUCUGCUAAACGUUUCGUCUAAUAAACGGAGUGUUGUAAUCUAACGAGUUAAGCAGAUCGCCUGGGUAGUAUAUUCGCAAGAAUGAAACUCAAAGGAAUAGGCGGGGGAACACACAAGCGGUGGAUUGUCUCGAUUAAUUGGAUAAUAAGCCAUAAAUCUUACCUACUCUUGACAUGCAAUGUGUCUACGGGUCAUGCCGUAUAGUGUAGCAAUACACGCUUUGCACAGAUGGUGCAUGGUUGUCGUCAGUUCGUACCGCAAGGCGUCGGGUUAAUUCUCGAAACGAACGCAACCCUCGUAUUAUGUUAUUAUGUCAUAAUAGACUGCCCUGGUAACAGGGAGGAAGGAGUGGAUGACGUCAAAUCCUCAUGCCUCUUACGAGUAGGGCUUCAGAGGCAAUACAAUGGAAAAUAACAAUCAGAAGCAAGGCCGCGAGGCUGAGCAAAUCUAUAAACUUUUCCUUAGUUCAGAUUGUAGUCUGGAACUCGACUACAUGAAGGUGGAAUCGCUAGUAAUGGCAAAUCAGCAAGUUGCCGUGAAUAUGUCCCUGUUCCUUGCACUCACCGCCCGUCAAACUAUGGGAGCCGAGGCUUUCUGAAGAUUCGCUUGCCGGAUUAAGGAAAGAAUUGGUGACUGGAGUUAAGUCGUAACAAGGUA
rnacentral:rRNA from 1 species